AGAGCGAACGCUGGCGGCAGGCCUAACACAUGCAAGUCGAGCGCCCGUAGCAAUACGGGAGCGGCAGACGGGAUAGUAACACGUGGGAACGCGCCCUUCGGUUCGGAAUAACUCAGGGAAACUUGAGCUAAUACCGAAUACGCCCUUACGGGGAAAGAUUUAUUGCCGAAGGAACGGCCCGCGUCCGAUUAGCUAGUUGGUGAGGUAAUGGCUCACCAAGGCUACGAUCGGUAGCUGGUCUGAGAGGAUGACCAGCAUCACUGGGACUGAGACACGGCCCAGACUCCUACGGGAGGCAGCAGUGGGGAAUAUUGGACAAUGGGCGCAAGCCUGAUCCAGCCAUGCCGCGUGGAUGAUGAAGGCCUUAGGGUUGUAAAGUCCUUUUAACGGGGAAGAUAAUGACGGUACCGUAGAAUAAGCCCGGCUAACUUCGUGCCAGCAGCCGC
rnacentral:rRNA from 1 species